UCCCUGGUGGCUCAGAGGUUAAAGCGUCUGCCCGCAAUGCAGGAGACCCAGGUUCGAUCCCUGGGUCGGGAA
rnacentral:tRNA from 1 species